GUGGGGAAUAUUGGGCAAUGGGCGCAAGCCUGACCCAGCGACGCCGCGUGGGGGAAGAAGUCUUUCGGGAUGUAAACCCUUGUUGUACGGGACGAAACGAAUGACGGUACCGUACGAGGAAGCCCCGGCAAACUACGUGCCAGCAGCCGCGGUAAUACGUAGGGGGCGAGCGUUGUCCGGAAUUACUGGGCGUAAAGCGCACGUAGGCGGGCUGUCAAGUCGGCCGUGAAAGGCACUGGCUCAACCGGUGUUUGUCGGUCGAUGCUGGCGGUCUGGAGUAUGGGAGAAGGAACUGGAACUCCCGGUGUAGCGGUGAAAUGCGUAGAUAUCGGGAGGAACACCAGUGGCGAAGGCGGGUUCCUAGCCCAUUACUGACGCUGAGAUGCGAAAGCCGGGGGAGCGAACGGGAUUAGAUACCCCUGUAGUCC
rnacentral:rRNA from 1 species